GGCGGAGUAGGGCAGCUCGGUCCAGCCCGCGAGGCUCAUAACCUCGAGAUCGUCAGUUCGAAUCUGACCUCUAGCCACGA
rnacentral:tRNA from 1 species